rnacentral:rRNA from 1 species
UCAAGCUACUAAGGGCUAAUGGUGGAUGCCUUGGCGCUGGAAGCCGAUGAAAGACGUGGAAGGCUGCGAUAUGCCACGGGGAGCUGUCAAACAAGCUUUGAUCCGUGGAUUUCUGAAUGGGGAAACCCAAUUUAUUUUAAUAAAUUACUCCUACCUGAAUAUAUAGGGUAGGUAGAGGGAACUAGGGGAAGUGAAACAUCUCAGUACCUAGAGGAAAGGAAAGCAAAAGCGACUCCCUGAGUAGUGGCGAGCGAAACGGGAAGAGCCUAAACCGAUUAAAUGUCAAGACUGAUGUUAUUGUUUAGUCGGUGUUGCGGGGCCUCUUAGAAAGAGCAUCAGAUCUUUCGAUAAGUUACAAAAUAUAAAGUUAGAAAAAUUGCCUGGGAAGGUAAACCACAGAAUGUAAUAGUCAUGUAUUCGAAAACUUUAUAACUUAUUAGAGUCACCCCAAGUAACAAGGAGGAUAUUCCUUGUGAAUCUGCGAGGACCACCUCGUAAGGCUAAGUACAACCAGCGACCGAUAGUGAACAAGUACCGUGAGGGAAAGGUGAAAAGAACCCCGGCGAGGGGAGUGAAAUAGUACCUGAAACCAUUAGCUUACAAGCAGUAGGAGGGAUAUUUAUAUCCUGACUGCCUGCCUUUUGAAGAAUGAGCCAACGAGUUAUCCGUAUAUGGCAAGGUUAAGGAGUAAAUCCGUAGCCGCAGCGAAAGCGAGUUUUAAUAGAGCGUUUAGUCGUAUGCGAUAGACCCGAAGCCAAGUGAUCUAUCCAUGAGCAGGGUGAAGCAAAGGUAAGACUUUGUGAAGGCCCGAACCCACUGAUGUUGCAAAAUCAGGGGAUGACUUGUGGAUAGGGGUGAAAGGCCAAUCAAACUUGGUGAUAGCUGGUUCUCUCCGAAAUGUCUUUAGGGACAGCGUUAUAUGUUGCGCUUUGGAGGUAGAGCACUGAUUGAUCUAGGGGGCCAACAAGCUUACCAAACUCAGUCAAACUCCGAAUGCCAAAGUGUUUAAAUAUAGCAGUGAGCCCGUGGGGGAUAAGCUCCACGGACGAGAGGGAAACAACCCAGAACAACAGCUAAGGCCCCUAAUUGUAUAUUAAGUGUGAAACGAUGUGAAAGUGUUCAGACAGCCAGGAGGUUGGCUUAGAAGCAGCCAUUCCUUUAAAGAGUGCGUAACAGCUCACUGGUCGAAUGUUUUCGCGCGGAAGAUGUAACGGGGCUAAAUAUACAGCCGAAGCUUUGUCAUCAUAUUAUUAAUCCAGAUUUCGAUCCAGGAAAUAUGAUGGGUAGGAGAGCGUUGUAUGGGCAAUGAAGCAGCAACGAGAGUUAGUUGUGGAGACCAUACAAGUGAGAAUGUUGGCAUGAGUAGCGAAGGAAGAGUGAGAAUCUCUUCCGCCGAAUGUCCAAGGGUUCCUGGGGAAGGUUCGUCCGCCCAGGGUUAGUCGGGACCUAAGACGAGGUCGAGAGACGUAGCCGAUGGAUAACAGAUUGAUAUUUCUGUACCACUAUAUAAGCGCCAAAAUCGAAUAUAUGUCGCUAAGGAAAGCCUUCGGGCCUACCGACCCACAUAUUAUUAGAUUAGCAAUGGAGUGACGGAGAAGGAUAAAUGAGCCCAGGCGAUGGUUGACCUGGGGUAAAUGCGUAGGGUGAUCGACAGGUAAAUCCGUUGAUCAUGAAACCUGAGACAUGAUGCCGAGCCGCUUUUAGGCGAAGUCAUUGAUUCCAUACUUCCAAGAAAACCUUCUAGUUAGUUUAUAUAGUGCCCGUACCCCAAACCGACACAGGUGGACAAGUAGAGAAUACUAAGGCGAGCGAGAGAACUCUGGUUAAGGAACUCGGCAAAAUAGUUCCGUAACUUCGGAAGAAGGAACGCCCCAGUAAAGUGAGUGAUUAACUUCAUUAGCUUGAACGGGCCGCAGUGAUCAGACUCAAGCGACUGUUUAUCAAAAACACAGGAGGGUGCAAAGUUCGAAUACAACGUAUACCCUCUGACACCUGCCCGGUGCUGGAAGGUUAAGUGGAUAGGUUAGCUUCGGCGAAGCUUUGAAAUUAAGCCCCAGUAAACGGCGGCCGUAACUAUAACGGUCCUAAGGUAGCGAAAUUCCUUGUCGGGUAAGUUCCGACCUGCACGAAUGGUGUAACGAUUUGAGUACUGUCUCAACCAGAGACUCGGCGAAAUUGCAAUGUGAGUAAAGAUGCUCACUAUGCGCGACAGGACGGAAAGA